rnacentral:rRNA from 1 species
AUGGAGAAAGAAUCCCAGCCCGCGGAGUAUCACCGGCUCGAGCCGGGGGAACCAGAGGCGCCCGUCGCCAGCCCUGGCGCCGCCGGGGCUCCCAUCUACGACGUGUACAUGGAUGAUGAGGAGGAGGCCGAGGAGGCGUAUCUGGAGAGCCUCGACGUCCCCGCGGGCCCCGUCGUCCUCGACGCGGACACGGCGGCGGCGGUGGAGGCGGAACGGCAGGCCGCCAUGGCCGCCGACGAGGAGAUGGCGCACGCGCUGCACAUGCAGGACCUCGUGGAGGCGGAGGAGUGGGAGCUGCGUGACCUGGACCUGGAACAGCCGCCCGGCGACUACCCCGCCUCCUCCAGGGCCGGCGUCGGCUUCGGCGCCAGGGCCACCGCGGACAACUUCUUGGAGAGACAGAGCGGGACCUUCGAGAGCAUCCAUGAGGUGGAGAGCGGAACCGUCUUCCUCGGCAAUUCGAGAAUCCUGGAACCCCUCGAGUGUCUGGAAAGUCUGCCAGGCCCGAGCGCUGCCGGCGCCGCCGCAUCUCCGGCGAGACAGACCAUCCGCUCCCAAGACGCCGGCGGCUCCUCGUCAAGCCAGCAAGUCCCCGGACACGGGGUAGCCGCUACUGUACCAAGCGUGACCCCGCCCAUCGGCUUCGUCCCAUCUCCAAGAAGAUGCGGCGCUCUCUGCGCCAUCGCCCCGCGGGCCAGACCAAUCGGCCCUUUCGACGACCCCGUUUCCGUGAAAAGACGGGCCCUCCUCGCCGACGCCGCCUCAUCGGUCAUGUUCCCCGCAAUGGAAGAAGGGCACGACAACGGCUGGUACGAGGCCAUCGUCCUCGACGAUGCUGACAAGCUGGAGCUGGCGGAGAAGCAGCGAUUGCUCGAAUCAUUGCAGCUGUGCCUCCCAAGAUCUGAUGAACCCUGCAAGCCCUCCGUCGCGGCCGGCGGCGGAGAAGAAGAAGAAGAAGAGGGCGGGUUCUCCCUGCCCAAGUUCUGCCAGAGGUGGGGCGUCAGCCCGUCCGACCUCGAGCCCGACGCGCCCGGCCCGUCGACGACGAAGGUGCCCCCGCUGGCCGACGACGAGGUGCCCACGUUCGACUGCGGCAUCUGCAUGGACACCCUCCCCGUCUUCGACCUCUUCCACGGGCUCCCCUGCAAGCACAAGUUCUGCGCGACGUGCAUGACCACCUACGUGGAGGGCAGGAUCCGGGCGAGCGAGCUGCCCAUCCCGUGCCCCGACGCGGGGUGCAAGGGCAAAGAGAACGCCGUCCUCCACCCGGAGAAGUGCAAGAAGGCGAUCGACUACGGCGCGUUCGGCGAUUGGGGCGCGCGGCUCACGGAGCGCGCGCUCCCGGCCGACCGGCGCGCGUACUGCCCGAACCGGCGGUGCGGGGUCAUCCUGGAGACGAGCGGCGGGGCGGAGCCGGCCAUGGCGCCGUGCCCGGCGUGCAAGCACCAGCUGUGCGCCACCUGCGGCAUGGAGUGGAGCCCGGACGGGGCGGCCGGCGAGCACGACUGCGCCAAGGGCCCCGACGCCGCGCUCGUGAGGAGGCUCGCGCAGGAGCGCCAGUGGAAACAGUGCCCGAGCUGCAGGAUGAUCGUCGAGAGGAGCUACGGAUGCAAUCGAAUGACAUGCAGGUGCGGCUUCGUCUUCUGCUACCAGUGCGGGCGCCCCAUGAGCAGGGGGCAGCCGGGAGAGGCAGGCCUGCUGGAGCCAUGCCGGUGCCACGACGCCGGGCUCGCGUUCGCCUUCGCGCACCACCACCAGGCCCACCACGUCGAGCUGAACGUGCCGGGGCCGCCCCCGCUCCUGCAGGAGGAGGAGGCGGCGGCGGUGGAGGCCCUCGUCAUGAACAGGCUGCCGCCCGUUCUCCCCGCAGACAGGGCGCACCGCCGGCUGGAGGUGGCCGACGGCAUUCACCAGCCCGGCCCUCAAGAUGCCCCAGACGUGGAAAUGGAAAACUUCUUGUACUAG